GACGAACGCUGGCGGCGUGCUUAACACAUGCAAGUCGAACGGAAAGGCCCCAGCUUGCUGGGGUACUCGAGUGGCGAACGGGUGAGUAACACGUGGGUGAUCUGCCCUGCACUCUGGGAUAAGCCUGGGAAACUGGGUCUAAUACCGGAUAGGACCGUGCUUUAGUGUGUGCGGUGGAAAGUUUUUCGGUGCAGGAUGAGCCCGCGGCCUAUCAGCUUGUUGGUGGGGUAAUGGCCUACCAAGGCGGCGACGGGUAGCCGGCCUGAGAGGGUGUACGGCCACAUUGGGACUGAGACACGGCCCAGACUCCUACGGGAGGCAGCAGUGGGGAAUAGUGCACAAUGGGCGCAAGCCUGAUGCAGCGACGCCGCGUGGGGGAUGACGGCCUUCGGGUUGUAAACCCCUUUCGGCAGGGACGAAGCUUUUGUGACGGUACCUGCAUAAGAAGCACCGGCUAACUACGUG
rnacentral:rRNA from 1 species